CCUACGGGGGGCAGCAGUAAGGAAUAUUGGUCAAUGGAGGAAACUCUGAACCAGCCAUCCCGCGUGAAGGAUGAAGGGGCUCUGCCUUGUAAACUUCUUUUGUCUGGGGCGAAAAAGCUCGAUUUAUCGAGAACUGACGGUACCAGAAGAAUAAGCACCGGCUAACUCCGUGCCAGCAGCCGCGGUAAUACGGAGGGUGCAGGCGUUAUCCGGAAUCACGGGUGUGAAGGCGGCUUAUGGCGGCUUAGUUGAAAGUCUGUGGCUUAACCAUGGAAUUGCCAUGGAUACUGCAGAGCUUGAAUGAGGUUGAGGUUAGCGGAAUGUGACAUGUAGCGGUGAAAUGCUUAGAUAUGUCAUGGAACACCGAUUGCGAAGGCAGCUGACUGGACCUAUAUUGACGCUGAGGCACGAAAGCGUGGGGAGCGAACAGGAUUAGAUACCCGAGUAGUC
rnacentral:rRNA from 1 species